rnacentral:rRNA from 1 species
UAAACCGUGGCUCAGUUCAGAUCGUAGGCUGCAACUCGCCUACGUGAAGGAGGAAUCGCUAGUAAUCGCAGGUCAGCAUACUGCGGUGAAUACGUUCCCGGGCCUUGUACACACCGCCGUCACACCAUGGAAGUUGGCCACGCCCGAAGCCGUUACUCCAACCCCUGUGGAGGAGGACGUCGAAGGUGGGGCUGAUGACUGGGGUGAAGUCGUAACAAGGUAGCCGUACCGGAAGGUGCGGCUGGAUCACCUCCUAACA